rnacentral:rRNA from 1 species
GGGCUUGACAUCCCACGAACCUGCCUGAAAGGGCGGGGUGCCCGCAAGGGAGCGUGGAGACAGGUGGUGCAUGGCUGUCGUCAACUCGUGUCGUGAGAUGUUGGGUUAAGUCCCGCAACGAGCGCAACCCUCACCCCUAGUUGCCACCGGGUAACGCCGAGCACUCGAGGGGAACUGCCAGCGUCAAGCUGGAGGAAGGCGGGGAUGACGUCAAGUCAUCAUGCCCCUUACGCCCUGGGCUACACACGUGCUACAAUGGUUAGUACAAAGGGAUGCGAGACCGCGAGGUGGAGCCAAUCCCAAAAAGCUGGCCUAAGUUCAGAUUGCAGUCUGCAACUCGACUGCAUGAAGGAGGAAUCGCUAGUAAUCGCGCAUCAGCACGGCGCGGUGAAUACGUUCCCGGGCCUUGUACACACCGCCCGUCACACCACGAAAGCUGGCUGUACUCGAAGUCGCUGAG